UAGUAUUCGGUAGCAUUACCAAAUUAAUAUUUUUUUUAUUAACAAAUUAAUUGUUAUUCCUCUAUUUAUUCGAUCGGGAAGCAUGAAUAAUUAGGUAUAACGAAGACCUUUGUUCCCAAAAUUUCAAAGCAAUAGCCGAAUUUCUAUUUUAAAAGUGAAUACCAAAGAAAUCGCUUUUUCUCGAUAAAUCUUCAUUUAUUGAAGAAAAUUUAUAACUUUAAAAAAUUGAACCCCUUUAACCUUAUCGAAAAAGUGUUUUUAAACAACGUUCUCAUUUAACUCUUUUCGUCUAAAUUAAAAACGAAAAAAACAUCGGAAAAACGAUCUUAAAAUUUUUAUAAACAAGUUUCCUCACACUUGUGAGCGUGCACACAAUUUUAUUAAAUGUAUUAAUAUUGUUUAAUGUUUACGUUCAAAAAUCAGGUCUAUUUCUUACUUAUCAAAAAAAUGGCGAUUUUUCAGCUAAUUUAUCUAGACUACUACCACGUUAUUUCUAGAAAAGUAAGCUUUGAUAAAAAUUGAAAUGACAACAGUUUAAAAAUUGCUUUUGUUUGAAUCAAGUCAAAAUUUAAAGUUCCUCUUUUUAAAAAAAUCUGAAAAUGCCUCUUUUGCCGCCCUGUUCUUAUGCACCGCAAUGUGGUAGUGGUUCUUUGCCUCCCUGCUGUCCUUCCCUUAUGAAUCCUCCACCUCCAGCAGUUUCGAAAUGUGGAUGUUGUGUAGGACUGCCUCCUCCUCCAAAGUCAGGAGAUAUGGUCCCGUGGUGUAAUGUCUAUGUUCCCGCUGUAACUCCCUUCGGGUAGAACAUCCCUACAUGACAAAAUAAAAAAAAUAUUUAUUAUGUUGAUGGUAAACAUUGAAAAGCCUGGUAUACGUAAUACUCAACAUUAAUGUAACGUCCCCUGAACGUUGUAUGUCUACAAUUUUAUCUGAAGAGUGUUAUCUAAAGUAAAUGUUAACUACUUGGUAUAAGGGUGAAGUCAAAUAGCUGUUUUGUUAAUCGUAAAAAUAAAAAAAGAAAAUAAAAUACUUUUGACAACA